GAAUCGCUUGAAAUAUUCGAAGAAGAUGAAGAUUUACCACUAGAGCCAGAAUUGGUGGAACCAAUAAUAGAUACUACGGCAAUUGAUUAAUUUGAUAGGCUAGAGGGAUCGCAAUUUUUGAAGAAUUUUUUUAGUUAAUUUUUAGAUAGGUAUCAAUUGAGUGUUUGCAAGGACGCUGCACAGUUAGGAGUGAGGCUAUAUAGAAUAGAUGUUAAUUCAUUUUUGAAAGAAAUUGAUAAAAUAUAUUAAUAGUCCAUAUAAUAGGAAAUUCAGGAGGACGGAUGAGUGAGUUAGUUAUUAAAAGCGGUUACUUAUAGAAUAACGAUUGAAAUCUGGAGAAUCAAAAGAAAAUAUAUAAGAGUUGUAGAAGUUAAUUAAGGGGCGAGACUGUGAUAGUGUGAGCCGGGGUAAGCUUGGUGCUACCUCUUUUCUUUUAUUUUUUAUUUUCUUUGAAUAAGAAGAUUAAGAGUUUCUGAAUAUUGUGAAAGUGAAUUAUGGAAUAAAAGUAUGAUUGUUAUUAAAUGGAAAGAAGAAAGAUUGAAUGCUGAAAUCUGAUUGUAGUUUAGCAGAGAGAAUGAGUCUGUGUUUGUGUGAAAUACUAUAAUGUGAAGGCAGUUAAUGGUGAAGAACUCCAGAGUUUGGAUUAUAGUAUGAUUAUGUCCUAUCAUUUAGGAUAGUGCGGG
rnacentral:lncRNA from 1 species